UGCAGUCGAACGGUAGCACAGAGAGCUUGCUCUCGGGUGACGAGUGGCGGACGGGUGAGUAAUGUCUGGGAAACUGCCUGAUGGAGGGGGAUAACUACUGGAAACGGUAGCUAAUACCGCAUAACGUCGCAAGACCAAAGAGGGGGACCUUCGGGCCUCUUGCCAUCAGAUGUGCCCAGAUGGGAUUAGCUAGUAGGUGGGGUAACGGCUCACCUAGGCGACGAUCCCUAGCUGGUCUGAGAGGAUGACCAGCCACACUGGAACUGAGACACGGUCCAGACUCCUACGGGAGGCAGCAGUGGGGAAUAUUGCACAAUGGGCGCAAGCCUGAUGCAGCCAUGCCGCGUGUAUGAAGAAGGCCUUCGGGUUGUAAAGUACUUUCAGCGGGGAGGAAGGUGUUGUGGUUAAUAACCACAGCAAUUGACGUUACCCGCAGAAGAAGCACCGGCUAACUCCGUGCCAGCAGCCGCGGUAAUACGGAGGGUGCAAGCGUUAAUCGGAAUUACUGGGCGUAAAGCGCACGCAGGCGGUCUGUCAAGUCGGAUGUGAAAUCCCCGGGCUCAACCUGGGGAACUGCAUUCGAAACUGGCAGGCUGGAGUCUUGUAGAGGGGGGUAGAAUUCCAGGUGUAGCGGUGAAAUGCGUACAGAUCUGGAGGAAUACCGGUGGCGAAGGCGGCCCCCCUGGACAAAGACUGACACUCAGGGGCGAAAAGCGUGGGAAGCAAAACAGGAUUAAUAUACCCCGGUGAGUCCCCGCCGGUAAACUAUGUGUAUUUGGAGGGUUGG
rnacentral:rRNA from 1 species